UUUGUAAAUGUCUUUGAAACAGUUUCAGUAACUAUUGCUUCCAAUGGUCAUUCCAGAAUGUUUUUCUAAAAUGAAAAAAAAAAGAAAACUAACUUUUUUUCACAGGAAGAAAGAUAUUUCAAAGGUUUCUGGUUUUCCUCCAUUAGAGCUCAAGAACAAGUUGAAAAGGGGCAUAUGUUUUUGAGUGUGUAACUUCCAUGUAUGAACAUACUGGAUGCUAAAAAAAGAGCUGAUAGACUUUUUAAAAAGGAAUAGGUAUAUUUGUAUGAAGAAAGAUUAGAAAAAUAAUCUAAACACCUGAAGAAAUAAAUAAUUAAGAACAGAAAAAAUGGAGACUCCUCUAAAAAAUGUUGUGCAAGGUGUUUGCAAAUAAAUACUUUAAAGGAGGUGAAUCCUAUUUCAAAUCAGACCAAAGCUGCUGAUUCCCUUUGCUUCCCUAUGGCUGCAGCUGUGUUCCACUGACACAAAUGGCUCUUCCUGGGGACUACAUCUUUAGUUACUGGAACAAGAGUCAUCGUAAUGUGCAAUGGGAUUUCAGUAAUGCUUUCAAUUGGCUAUUAAAACACAACACUGCAUAAGCAAAUCACAACUGCUUGCUUGCAGAUAGAGCUGCCAGUGACACAGAUACCUAUGUGUUAUUCCCUUCAAAGAGGAGCUACUAGAAAAAUUGUAGGGCAGCAAGGAAAUGUGUGAAAAAAACCAGAUGCUUAGUGAUGUAGUCUUACUGCUGUCUGUCUUCCCAUCUCACUCCGAAUUUUCUGUUUCAUUUUAUGAUCUCCAAAAUACUGAGUUUUCAUAGCUUAAUUUAUUUUUUUCCUCACAUCACAGGGAAUGCCUAACAAUAUCAAAUAGACAAAAGCUGAUUCAAAGUAUGCCGAUGUCUUCAAAAAGGUCCCAGUUUUUACCUGCACAAAGUAAACAUUUUGCUUGGGAGAGUGCAAUAUGAUGUGUGUUAACAGAAUGCUUUGCCUUUUCCUUGAAAAAGGUCUCUUAAUUUAGAAUUUGUGCGUUAAAGCAGGGGUAAACCCAAAUGAUGAUUGUAAAGCUCACAGCCCAUUCUGCAAGAUAGAAAUUAUUAGGGUAAAGAAAAAAGUUAAACGAUGUUGAGGAAUUGUAGCAUAAUGUUCCUUUCUCUUCCCUAGUAUCCCACAGUAAAUAUUAAAAGGGAACCACAUGUGAGCUGACUUUAGUGCAGCAUGUGCUCCUGGCUUCUCAGGACCUCAUCCAGGAUGUGCAGAAUUUAUCUGCCAAGGAUUUUGCAGCUGUGGAGGUUGUUGGUCUCACAAGUGGUGCAGGACUCCUCAUCUAGCUCUGAGGACUUGUGUGUCAGGGUAGGAUGCUGUUGUGUGAAGGUAUUGAGAUACCUAGUAAAGAAUAAUGUACAUUUCUUGGGGCAAGUAAACAGGGACUUAAAAGUUCUUCUGGGUGCUUAGAAAUUGAGCCCCACAACAGCCGUCAGUAUCUGUUCCUAGGCUUUUGAUUUUCAUAGGUUCGUGCUUUUGUCAUUAGCUUAUUCUGCCCUUAAAUAUAGAUUGCAGCUUGUCAGGGUUUUAAUUUGAGGAGUUAAGCUUUACAUCCUGGAUCUAUGAAGUUGUAUCUGUAUAUGAACAGGAGAAUAGUAACAGUUCAAACACCAGCAUGUAUUUCAGGCAGACCCUGAAUACUCAAAUAGUGUUAGGAUUCAGGAUCUUUCCAAUGACAGCCAUGACUGCUUUGUUUAAUGUCAGGACUCUGAAAGAUCCUUUCCUAACCAAUGUUGUUUACCUAUCUGUCCCAUAAAGAGAAAAGAGACACAGAUCUUGCAUUUGAGUUACUCUCUCUCCAGCUGGAAAUGUUGUGUAGUACAUUCUUUAUUGUAUUUAUUACAGAGUAUGUGGUACCUGCUUGAGUAUAGCAAGACCACAUACUUGAAUUGGUUUUUUUUUUAUUGUUUAUGACAUUUUCCCAGUGAUUUGCACUCAAAUCUUAUUUUUGCAACAGAAUUUCAGUCUCAUCUCGCAUUCUCUACCCUUUAUUUUGUCAUCGGAACUGUUAAAAUUCAUAAUAAGUGAUUUGGCAGUCUGUCUAUUUGUAGACAGUUUAUUUGGGAACAGUAAUGGUUAUCUUGUAGAUAUUUCCAUCAUGAUUUUUUGAAACACAGCAUUUGGCUUUAAAGUAUUUGAAAAUAUCAGUGAUUGAAAUAUGAACUGUAUGGUACUAUGAUAAAAAGUAUAUUCUGGUUUUGUUUUCUGCUUGGAGAGGAAUCAAGUUUCAACUCAAAUGGUCAUGGUUGUUUCUUUGUAUUUUGUUUCUGGUAGGUUGUUCUACAAACCUGCAGAGUAAUGAUACAGAAUAAAAACCUCCUGAAUAAAUCCUAAAUGUUAUGUAUAUGUUUUAUAGAUAUAUAGAUUUGCCAGCAUAGAAUAUUUGUAAUUUCAAGGUUUUUAGUUUCCUUAUAGUUUGGAUAGGAUUUUUGUGUGUCAGAAAAGAAAUGUCUGUCAUUAUCUUCAACUGAUUUUUUGCAUUAGUGUAAGGCAAUUAUAAAUAAGUCUGGUAAAAAUAGUCUCCUUUGAUUCUUUAGUAGAUGUUGCAUGAAUUAAUCAGUUUCUUUAUGUAUGUAUGUGAAUUGAAAGACUAAAGAGGAGUAGGUUUAGGGAAGUUGAGAGCUGCUGGGAAGGGGACAGUGGACAGUUACUUAGAUUCAGCGUGAGACUAGAGAUGCAACUGCUUUUAAUAUUGAUAACCGUACCUAAUUUUCUUCUGGUGAUUUGUGUCAUUUCAAAGACAUGAUUUUAAAGGGUGAAGCUUUCUGUGGAGCUGUCAAAAUUUUAUAUUUCACAUUUCUGAAAUAAUCAAACUACAUCUUCUUAUAAAUAACUAGAGAGACUGAGGUGCUUUUCACAUGCAGUAUUGCGCUUAGCACAAAAACAAAUGCUAAUGUGACUAUCAGUACAGGACCAAACUUUAUCUGAGAUCUGGGGUGUUGCCAUGGCAAUUCCAAUUGUUGGAAAAAAAUUCUCUUUUGUGCUUCAUUCUGACAUUAUAUUGCAAAAUGAUGAUUAUGAGGAAACAUACAACCCAAAAAGGGGGGGGAGGGAUCUCUUCUUGAAGAUGUAAAACACACUUUCUAUCACAUUUACUUUUUCUGAAACAGAGUGUGUGCCCAGAUUGUUACGAGCUGUAUUCUUUGCAGAUUCAGAUACAUUGUUAUUUCUCAAGCUGCCAUAAUAAUACUCAAUGUUAUUUCUCCCAAAUGUAAUAAUCAACAUAAUAAGGAACUCUGAGAAAUAUAUCCCAUUUCCUAUGCAAAAUAUUGGUUUCUAGUGUAUGUUAUACUGCUGAUGUGGCCCUUUUGCUUUUAACAAUACUGCCUAUGUUAGCUGAAGCAUAUCUACAAUACAGAUCUCGCUUAAGUUAUUUAUAUAUAUCAGCUCUAUAAUCUAUGUAUAAUAGAAUAGCUCAUACUAGCUAAUAGAUCAGCCAUUUCUGUUUAGUUAUAAAAUUGUUUUUCUACCAGUACAUCUCACUGUGACAAAAUUGAUAUGGCUAUUACCUGUUCCUUGCUAAAUCAAUACACAACAAGCUUUAAAUAAAUAAAUAAAUAAUAACACACCCCUACGCCCCCCCCACAAAACCCCAACAGCUGAGCAAUAAAACCACACAAUACUUCCCAAAAAAGAAGCAAAUGAAGGAGUACAGUUAAAAUGUAGUUUGCACUGCAAUUCAUGCUGAAGUUUAUUGUGGAUUCUUUUAUGUAGGCAAUGUGUAAACUGGGAAACAUUUCCAGAAGAAAACUAAUUCUUGCAGUGCUGCAUUGCUGCUUUAUAAAUAAAUCAUUGUCCUUUCUCUAUUGAUCACUGGAACAAGCCAGUCGAAGAAUGCUGACUUAGUGCAGCCCUAUGCAGGAUGGCUGGAUUGAGAGAAAAAGCCGGUGCUGCAGUCAGAGGCAGCACAUGCUGCCGGGCUCUCAGCAGUGCGCCAUUGGGAGGCUGAGAGGAAGCCAAGGGGCUGACUUUGCUGGCUGCAGUCAGAGGUGAGGGGCAUGGAGCAGCUCGGAGUGUCCCAUGGCUCUGUGCCCCUCACUGCUGCCGGGGGGCUCCUGCUGCCGCCGCACCUCUGCCCAGCGCCCGCUGAUAAACCUGCACCCAAAGGACUACAGGGAACAAAUCUGGAGGGAAAAGGAAUGCCUUGAAGUCUCAGUAUGGAUUCAGAAGGCACUGGCUAGUCAUUGUCACACCCGGUGUAGAACUGUUGAUAAUUACUGAUUAUGGCACAAGAGUGAAUAUCAUCUAGGAAAUAAAGGUGAAGAGGGUGGAAUGAGAAUGUCUUAUCUCAGGGGAGUUAAAUGAUCCUCCUGCAGUAAGACCUUUGCAUCCUCCAAAGACAGCAGCAGAAAUUUCUCAUAAAGUUUGACCUGUUGUUCUGUAAGUAAUAUAUCUGAGACUCCAAUACAGAGUAUCUUGUCAAUUCCUUUUAAUAAAUGAAACUGAACUGAUACAGUAGCUCAGGUAGUUUCUCUGAUCUGUACCAGUUCUCUGGUCUAUGCCUUCACAUGUAUUUCCAUGAAUUGUUGAUACACUUGGUCAGUGAGUUUUCUGUGACUUCAAAGCUAAGCCUUUCACUUUGCUUUGUAUAAAACAUGCCCAGAAGCUGGAUUCUGAAGAAAAUAAGUAGAGAGAAAAAUA